GAUGAACGCUGGCGGCGUGCCUAAUACAUGCAAGUCGAGCGAAUGGAUUAAGAGCUUGCUCUUAUGAAGUUAGCGGCGGACGGGUGAGUAACACGUGGGUAACCUGCCCAUAAGACUGGGAUAACUCCGGGAAACCGGGGCUAAUACCGGAUAACAUUUUGAACCGCAUGGUUCGAAAUUGAAAGGCGGCUUCGGCUGUCACUUAUGGAUGGACCCGCGUCGCAUUAGCUAGUUGGUGAGGUAACGGCUCACCAAGGCAACGAUGCGUAGCCGACGUGAGAGGGUGAUCGGCCACCCUGGGACUGAGCCACGGCCCAGACUCCUACGGGAGGCAGCAGUAGGGAAUCUUCCGCAAUGGACGAAAGUCUGACGGAGCAACGCCGCGUGAGUGAUGAAGGCUUUCGGGUCGUAAAACUCUGUUGUUAGGGAAGAACAAGUGCUAGUUGAAUAAGCUGGCACCUUGACGGUACCUAACCAGAAAGCCACGGCUAACUACGUGCCAGCCGCCGCGGUAA
rnacentral:rRNA from 1 species